GUUUUCAGUUAUAAUAUCGUAAAAAAAUGAGUGAUUCCAGUGAUGAAGAUGAUCUGACGCCUGUGGAACUUGCACUUUCCUCGCUAUAGUGAGGUGAAAAGUUUUGUGUCACAAACGUGUGCAAAUGUAUUUUACUUCUCGUGUGUUGAAACACUCGCUCCUAAAAUACAAUUUUGCACCCUUGUAUAACAAAUAACUAUUA